rnacentral:rRNA from 1 species
GUGUCAGCCGCCGCGGUAAUACGAAGGGGGCUAGCGUUGCUCGGAAUUACUGGGCGUAAAGCGCACGUAGGCGGCUUUCUAAGUCGGGGGUGAAAUCCUGGAGCUCAACUCCAGAACUGCCUUCGAUACUGGAAAGCUCGAGUCCGGGAGAGGUGAGUGGAACUGCGAGUGUAGAGGUGAAAUUCGUAGAUAUUCGCAAGAACACCAGUGGCGAAGGCGGCUCACUGGCCCGGUACUGACGCUGAGGUGCGAAAGCGUGGGGAGCAAACAGGAUUAGAAACCCCCGUAGUCC